UUUUAGUUCGAAUUCAUGUGCAGAGUAAAGCAUUCAAUUACACGAUUCUUUAUAUAAUUACACACAAUAAAUGAUUUCUUUGAUCAAGUGUAUUCUACUCCAUGAGUAUAAUUGAUAUAUAUAUUUAUUUCUCAAAAUUAAUUAAGGAUGAAUAUGAAUUUAAAGUCAAAAGAUGACCACUUAAAGUUAAAAUAAAUUGGGACUAGUGUUUUGGAGGGCUAGUAGUUUGAACUAAAGCUCACAUGCGCGCAUCGUUGUCGUCGUCCGUUCGAUCGGCCGACUCGACUCGUCACGACACGACCACGGGUUGUGGGUCGUAGGCUCGGGCUCGGGCUCGGGCUCGGGCUCAAUUGGUAUAUAUAUUUUUUGGUAAAAUAAUAUUUUAAUUAUAUUAUUUGUAUAUUAAAAAAUAUAUUUUCAUUAUAUAAUUUAUUUUUUUCUCCCCAGAAUUUUCUGUCCGAGACACAUGACUUCUUCUAGAAACUGGCAAUUGCUUACAGUUUUAACUGCCUGUCCAAACGAGUUGUGUCGGUUCCAGACAACUUUUUGACUGUUAUGUCUUUUGGGCAAAAUCUUUCAACUUAUAUAAAUAGACGGCAAGAUCUCCAAUUUUGUUCAUUUGCAAAAUACCUUUAUUCCGUCAUGCAGUAUUCCAUAUUUUACAUUUCAGUCCCAAAUAAUAAUUUCAUGCAUUUUAAUCCUCCGAUUUUCGAGGGAUCAAAAUAUUAGUAAGUUCGUCAAGUCUUGUAAUUUGGAGUGCUACUAUUACAAGUCAAUGUCGUUGUAUUUUGGGAAACGAGUGUCGAAAAAUAGUCAACACCAGUACGGAACAUUAUCGUCUUAAGGAGAAAGGGUCGAACUCUUACCUCGAUCAUUAUCAUUCUAAUUUUAUUACGCUCAUUUUGUAGUUGAAAUUCUGCCCAACUGUUUAUUCACUACCUACUUACAUAAAUUAUUGCAUGGCAUUCUCGAAUUUUAUUCAAAAGUUGUGAAUAUUAAAAAAAUUUAUUAUGUUAUGGAACCUGACAAUCGAGAUGAACCAAAUCGAGUUCCAUAAUUAAAUUUGGACUCGACCAUUUCACUUAUUAAAUAUUCCAAAAUUCAGAUUCGAUUCAGUUUUUUUUGGAAACAAAUCGGAGCGGACUAUGUCCAACCCUCUAAUUGCUACCUUACUAUAAAAUAGAAUUACGAUUUCUAAUUGUAACAAUGAUCCAUAGUUUUACA
rnacentral:lncRNA from 1 species